AACAUCGCCUCCUGCAGCAUUAAAGUAUAGGAGGUCUUGCCUGCCCAGUGAGCAAUUAAACGGCCGCGGUAUUUUGACCGUGCGAAGGUAGCGCAAUCACUUGUCUUUUAAAUAAAGACCUGUAUGAAUGGUAGAACGAGGGCUUAACUGUCUCCCCCCUCUAGUCAAUGAAAUUGAUCUGCCCGUGCAAAAGCGGACAUAAAACCACAAGACGAGAAGACCCUUUGGAGCUUAAGAUAAAAAAUCACCUAUGUCAAAAACUACCCAAGCCUGUUAAACCAAAUAGUGCAUGAUUUUAAUCUUCGGUUGGGGCAACCAUGGGAGAAAAUAAAGCUCCCACGUGGAUCGGGGCCCAGACCCUAUAACCAAGAAUGACACUUCAAAGUAUUAAAAAAUUUAACCACUGCGACCCAGUUAUAAUACUGAUCAGCGAACCAAGUUACCCAAGGGAUAACAGCGCAAUCCUUUUCGAGAGCCCAUAUCGACAAAAGGGUUUACGACCUCGAUGUUGGAUCAGGACAUCCUAAUGGUGCAGCCGCUAUUAAGGGUUCGUUUGUUCAACGAUUAAAGUCCUACGUGAU
rnacentral:rRNA from 1 species